rnacentral:rRNA from 1 species
UACGAAGGGGGCUAGCGUUGCUCGGAAUCACUGGGCGUAAAGGGUGCGUAGGCGGGUCUUUAAGUCAGGGGUGAAAUCCUGGAGCUCAACUCCAGAACUGCCUUUGAUACUGAAGAUCUUGAGUUCGGGAGAGGUGAGUGGAACUGCGAGUGUAGAGGUGAUAUUCGUAGAUAUUCGCAAGAACACCAGUGGCGAAGGCGGCUCACUGGCCCGGUACUGACGCUGAGGUGCGAAAGCGUGGGGAGCAAACAGG